GCGGGUAUGAUGAAAUUGGUAAACAUGCUGGAUUUAGGUUCCAGUGCAGAGAUGCUUGUGGGUUCGAGUCCCACUACCCGUACCA
rnacentral:tRNA from 1 species